UUAACUCAAAUUUGUAUGGAGUGGUAACUUUUGCGUACUUUUGCCCCUAGGGGCGCUGUUCCAACUGCAUACAAAUUUGAGUUA
rnacentral:pre_miRNA from 1 species